rnacentral:lncRNA from 1 species
ACAGAACUGUUAGAAGGAUGAAAUGACAUACCUGUAAAGCAGAAAGCACAGUGAUUGCCCCAGUGGAAAAUGACAAUAGCUACGAUGAACUGAAAAGAGAUGCAAAGUUAUGUUUAUCAUUAAUGUCUCAGGGGUUGCUUUACCCUCAUCAAGUGCCUUUGGUACUUCAGGUGCUAAAACAAACAGCAAGAAGCAGUUCUUGGCAUGCACGAUACACAGUACUGACCUACCUCCAGACCAUGGUAUUUUAUAACCUCUUUAUUUUCCUAAACAAUGAAGAUGCAGUUAAAGAUAUCAGGUGGCUGGUUAUAAGUCUUUUGGAGGACGAACAACUGGAGAGUUGGUCAAACGCCAUGCUGGGGUGCUAGGACUUGGUGCAUGUGUUCUUUCUAGUCCUUACGAUGUUCCCACCUGGAUGCCCCAGCUCCUCAUGAAUCUCAGUGCACAUCUAAAUGAUCCUCAGCCUAUUGAGAUGACUGUAAAAAAAACCUUAUCCAAUUUCCGAAGGACUCACCAUGACAACUGGCAGGAACAUAAACAGCAAUUCA